AGUCGCCCCCACCACCAAAACUUUGCAACUCUCAUCGCCAUCACCGGGCUGGCCACCGCCUUCGCCGCCGCCGCCAUCUGCCCUCCAUUUCCCACCCUCCCCGCGAUUCCGCGAUCUGCCACCUCCUUUCAAAUAAAUUUGAAAAACCAUGACCAGUCGCCCCCACCACCAGAAAUCGAUCUGCCACCUCCCUUCCCCACUGUGGUUCACCGCGCCGGAACCCUCCGCUAUGUGCCGUGAUUCUUCCUAUACAGCCAUGAUUUUUAGCUAUAAAUUCCAUGAAUCAUUCAGAAAUUGGUGGCGGCUCCUUCCGAUUUCAUUAUGUUUUUACAGCCAACGCAAGUUUGAUGAACCAUUCUAUUUCUCUGUAUCCAAAGUGUGAAAGAGGAUAUCGUUUCUGAAAAAUAAAGAGUACAUCAAGGGAAAUUUUAUAUCCACCUCUAGAAAGGAAGCAUUGUGUUUGGUCUCAUUAUACAUUGUAGUGGGACACAAGCUUAAAAUCAGUAAGAUUAUGAAAUCAUUGAUUUUGUUCCAUCUCUUUUCUUUUUCUGGGUGAAUUUUAACAAGGAAAGACUAAAACUCCUCUUAUAUCACCAUGUUUAACCAUGCAAGCUUUAAUUGAUGCUUCUAUUUUUUUUCCCAAGUUGAUCCAGAGAGGGACUUCUCCUUACCAGAUACAUGUAUCAUUGCUAUCAUUCUGUACUUUUCACCUCUAUCUUCGCUGUUGCUUUGCUCGCUUGAUUUUCAUACGUUCUCUCGUGUGAAUUGGUUUCUUACAAAUUAUCAACAAUUGCUAUAGUGAAUCACAUAAACUCUUUGUUUU